rnacentral:rRNA from 1 species
AUGGCCGAGGCCGACGACGCCGCCGCCGCCCGCCGGCGCACGGUCAUCACGGAGUACCGCAACAAGCUCCUGAACUGCCGCGAGCUGGAGACGAGGGUCCGCACAGGUAGGGAAAACCUAAAGAAGGCGAAGAAAGAUUACGAUAAAACUGAAGAUGAUUUGAAGUCCUUGCAGAGUGUGGGCCAAAUCAUUGGUGAAGUACUUCGACCAUUGGACAGUGAAAGAUUUAUCGUCAAAGCCAGUAGUGGCCCACGUUAUGUGGUUGGCUGCAGAAGCAAAGUUGACAAAGAAAAGCUGACAGCUGCAACACGAGUUGUCCUUGACAUGACAACAUUAACAAUAAUGCGCACUCUACCACGUGAGGUUGAUCCCGUGGUCUAUAACAUGCUACACGAAGACCCCGGCAAUGUCAGUUACUCAGCUGUAGGUGGACUGUCGGAUCAAAUAAGGGAGCUGCGGGAGUCCAUCGAGUUACCUCUUAUGAAUCCAGAAUUGUUUCUUCGUGUUGGGAUUAAACCACCAAAGGGCGUUCUGCUCUAUGGCCCACCUGGAACGGGAAAGACAUUGCUUGCUAGAGCCAUUGCUAGCAACAUCGAUGCUAACUUUUUAAAGAUUGUUUCAAGUGCUAUCAUUGACAAAUAUAUUGGUGAAAGUGCACGUCUUAUAAGAGAAAUGUUUAACUAUGCACGUGAGCAUCAACCAUGUAUUAUUUUCAUGGAUGAGAUUGAUGCCAUUGGUGGCCGAAGAUUCAGUGAGGGCACUAGUGCAGAUCGUGAAAUACAACGGACAUUGAUGGAGCUCCUAAAUCAGUUGGAUGGAUUCGAUGAGCUCGGAAAGGUGAAGAUGAUCAUGGCGACGAACCGGCCUGAUGUCUUGGACCCUGCGCUCCUUCGUCCUGGACGCCUAGACCGGAAGAUAGAGAUUCCGCUGCCGAAUGAGCAAUCCAGGACGGAGGUCCUGAAAAUCCAUGCAGCUGGUAUCGCCAAGCAUGGCGAAAUUGAUUACGAGGCUGUGGUUAAGCUGGCCGAGGGCUUCAAUGGCGCUGAUCUUCGCAAUGUCUGCACUGAGGCUGGCAUGGCCGCCAUUCGAGCAGAGCGUGACUACGUCAUCCACGAAGACUUCAUGAAGGCAGUUCGGAAGUUGAAUGACGCCAAGAAGCUCGAGUCCAGCGCACACUACAGCGCCGACUUUGGCAAGGACUAA